ACUCACGCGGGAAUCUUACCGGGUCCGGACACACUGAGGAUUGACAGACAAAUACACACACUUUUACGGUGUGUGCAUGAAAUAUGCUAGUUCUUUCAUGAUUAUGUGAUAGGUGGUGCAUGGCCGUUCUUAGUUCGUGGAGUGAUCUGUCUGCUUAAUUGCGUUUCACUAAAGGCACAUACACAUAAUAUUGAUGUGUUGUGUAAUUUAUAUUACGCAUACUCAUAUUAUAUUGUGCUUUGAAAGCAACGAACGUGACCGCAACCUCUUGUUGCCUGUAUAUAUGUGUAUUUUAUACACACCACAGGCUAUUAUAAACUAGAGGGACCGCUGUUACUUUCUUUUAAACCAGAGGAAGGUUGCGGCAAUAACAGGUCUGUGAUGCCCUUAGAUGUUCCGGGCUGCACACGUGCUACAAUGAUCAUUGCAGUGCGCAUCUCAUUUUGUUAUACACUGCUUGUGCGUAUGUGCACCAUAUAUUUAUAUGUGUGUGUGAUGUAUUGCACGCAGUAAAGCCUACUUCGAAAGUUGUGGGUAAUCAAUUUGAAGUAAUGAUUUCUCCAAAUAUAUACUGCACACUCAUAUACAGUAUCUUAUGUCCACGAAUUUGUAAUUCAUUACACUUUUGUGUGUGCAUUCGACGCUCGUAUGUGCAAUUGUCAAUUCAUGGUGGGGACAGACCAUUGUUAAUUGUUGGUCUCGGUCUUAACUAGGAAUGCCUUGUACGGGUCUUUGGUUCAACAAACCACCCGGAAUACGUCCCUGCCCUUUGUACACACCGCCCGUCGCUCUUACCGAUGGACUUCUCUGUGAGUUUGAGGGACUGGAUUUUAUAUCUAUGGAAACUCAAACGAACAGUGUGGUCUAAAGGAAAGAGAAGUCGUAACAAGGCAUCCGUAGGUGAACCU
rnacentral:rRNA from 1 species